UGGCGGAGCAGGAACAGUAGCGACAAAAAUUAUUGUGUUCCACAUUGAGACUGCGGAAUUUGCGUCUUUGCGAAUCCGAACGUUUGAGACGUCGAGAGUUUGAGAGUCAUUUUUGUUGAAUUCACACAUCGACCAACAUCAAUUAGGGCUCACUGUAAUAAAAGUAUAGUUUAAUAAAUAUAUAUGACCUAAUUUAUGCAAAUGGCGUGACAAUUAAAUGAAAUUUAUAAUUAUACUUGGUAAAUAUAAUAAAAUAUGUCCUUUAAAAUAAAUUGGCAAUAAAAUAUGCAUUGAAAGUACUUGACAAGCUCGAUGAGUCCCAUGAUUUUCAAGCAUUAAUCAGCCCAUGGGAUUUUAUUGAACCCAUAUACAGUAAAGGUUAAUCAAUAAAAAUGUCAAAAUUAUUGUCGGAGAUUGUGCUUCCUAACCAGAAUCAUUCUCUACUUUUUGAAUUUAGUGUCAACUGCAGAGAACAAAUGCAGCUGAGUUCAUCACCGUCAAGAUUAAAUCACCGGCUCUUAUCCAGAUAAUUUAUUCAAAGGAUCCACCAGAGUUUUGUUCCAGCCUCUGAUGUUUUUGAAUCAAAAUUUGUUUACUUUACAACAAGCUAAAAUGUCGUAUACAAUUAUAUUCAUGAUUUUUGGUUUGACGCAAUCAUAUAUGAUUGGGCCUUAUGAUAUCAGUGAUGUGUACGGUAGUGAUCCAAUUUAUCAAUGCGCUAGUCAUCGCGCUCGGUGUAACAUUUAUCUCAAAAAUCCAUGUUGUGACCAGGAUAAUAAAUGCACACUUAUCAGAUGGGCUGAGCAUCAAUAUUU